rnacentral:sRNA from 1 species
CUAAUUUUAACUCUUAUAAUUAGUCAAAUUCAUUGGAUUGUGACAUAUUUUUACCAUACAAACACUAACAAAGCUAUUUACUACUUCUAAGCAAUUGUUUGUUGGUUUUAGCCUCUUUUGAGACAAAAUGGGUAUAAGUAUUGUCUAUACACUCUUAAUAUAUCUUUAACUCUUAGAAUUAGUCAAAUGCAUUGGAUUGUGACACAUUUUGACACA